GGGCUGUAUCUCAGUGGUAGAGCACUUACCUAGCAUGUAUGAGGCACUGGGUUCAAUCCUCAGGACCA
rnacentral:tRNA from 1 species